AGAAAAUUCCAGGACAUGACAAUCCUCACGAGCUGAGCUUCACAUAUGUUGUUCUCCACAAGAACUGCAAAAUCUUGAAAUACUUAAGAUUUCAGGACUGUAUUUGGAACUUCUUACUCAAGCAAAGGAAAAUUCUAGCUAUGCAAAAAGAACAUAGCUUUACCUCAUGAAUUGAAUGCCAAUGGUGACAUCUGUGUAGAAGACCGUGGAAGAGCCUUAACCUGGAAAAGAAUCAUCUGGCAUUGAAGGCUUCACCUAAUUUGCAAAGCUGAAGUAAAGACUGAAUAUCCUCUAAGACUGAAGAUUUUGAUUCAUUUUUGAUUUGAGAKUACGUCCUCAACCACCUCAUUCAGCAUAACUAUGGAAUUCUGGUCAAUCGGGUGAAAUUCCUUGUGCUUUGGCUUUCAUACAUGAAAAGAAGGGAAGAGGUUGUU